rnacentral:rRNA from 1 species
CGCGUAGGUGGCUAAUUAAGUCAAAUGUGAAAUCCCCGAGCUUAACUUGGGAAUUGCAUUCGAUACUGGUUAGCUAGAGUAUGGGAGAGGAUGGUAGAAUUCCAGGUGUAGCGGUGAAAUGCGUAGAGAUCUGGAGGAAUACCGAUGGCGAAGGCGACUCUUUGGUCUGUAACUGACGCUGAGGCGCGAAAGCGUGGGGAGCAAACAGGAUUAGAUACCCGCGUA